rnacentral:rRNA from 1 species
GCAGCACGGGGGCAACCCUGGUGGCGAGUGGCGAACGGGUGAGUAACAUAUCGGAACGUGCCCUGGAGUGGGGGAUAACUAGUCGAAAGAUUAGCUAAUACCGCAUACGAUCUACGGAUGAAAGUGGGGGAUCGCAAGACCUCAUGCUCGUGGAGCGGCCGAUAUCUGAUUAGCUAGUUGGUGGGGUAAAGGCCUACCAAGGCAUCGAUCAGUAGCUGGUCUGAGAGGACGACCAGCCACACUGGGACUGAGACACGGCCCAGACUCCUACGGGAGGCAGCAGUGGGGAAUUUUGGACAAUGGGCGCAAGCCUGAUCCAGCAAUGCCGCGUGAGUGAAGAAGGCCUUCGGGUUGUAAAGCUCUUUUGUCAGGGAAGAAACGGUGGAGGUUAAUACCUUCUGCUAAUGACGGUACCUGAAGAAUAAGCACCGGCUAACUACGUGCCAGCAGCCGCGGUAAUACGUAGGGUGCAAGCGUUAAUCGGAAUUACUGGGCGUAAAGCGUGCGCAGGCGGUUGUGCAAGACAGAUGUGAAAUCCCCGGGCUCAACCUGGGAAUUGCAUUUGUGACUGUACGGCUAGAGUGUGUCAGAGGGGGGUAGAAUUCCACGUGUAGCAGUGAAAUGCGUAGAGAUGUGGAGGAAUACCGAUGGCGAANGCAGCCCCCUGGGAUAACACUGACGCUCAUGCACGAAAGCGUGGGGAGCAAACAGGAUUAGAUACCCUGNUAGUCCACGCCCUAAACGAUGUCUACUAGUUGUCGGGUCUUUAUUGACUUGGUAACGCAGCUAACGCGUGAAGUGGNNCGCCUGGGGANUACGGUCGCNAGANUAAAACUCNANGGAAUUGACGGGGACCCGCACAAGCGGUGGAUGAUGUGGAUUAAUUCGAUGCAACNCGAAAANCUUACCUACCCUUGAC